GAAAUGCGAUACGUAAUGCGAAUUGCACAACUCAGUGAAUCAUCGAAAUUUUGAACGCACAUUGCGCUGUGACAGUCAAUGCCACAGCAUGCCUGGUCGAGUGUCGAUUCCAAACCUAUUAUAUAACAUUAUAUUUUUUUGUAAUGUUUUUGAUAAUAGAUUUGAUGAGAGUCAGUGUCUAGUAGUGUUCUUCUUCCAAAGAACAAAAGACAUCGUCUCUUUAAAUCGACGUUGUUGGGGACUAGAAAAACUCCUUUAUACCCUAUUGUGAGAUAGAGUCAAGGGGGAUUCAUAACACACACACAUUUUUUGUGUGUGUGCGUGUGGAUCCCAGAUUUCCCCAUGUGGUAAACACCUCAUGCGGUUAGAAGUCGCUUCCUAGACUUAAUAUUAUAUCCUUUCAUAAUAGUUGGUUAUUGUUUUUUGAAACUCAAACUCUGUAACCACACUGUCAAGAAAAAAACCAAUCUUUAUUGAUUUUUUCUUCGGACAGACCUCGGCUCAGGCAAGACUACCCGCUGAAUUUAAGC
rnacentral:misc_RNA from 1 species